rnacentral:rRNA from 1 species
UACGGAGGGUGCAAGCGUUGUUCGGAAUCACUGGGCGUAAAGCGCGUGUAGGCGGCUAUCUAAGUCUGAUGUGAAAGCCCUGGGCUCAACUCAGGAAGUGCAUUGGAUACUGGAUAGCUGGAGUACCGGAGAGGAGGGUGGAAUUCCUGGUGUAGCGGUGAAAUGCGUAGAUAUCAGGAGGAACACCGGUGGCGAAGGCGUCCCUCUGGCCGGAUACUGACGCUGAGACGCGAAAGCGUGGGGAUCAAACAGG